rnacentral:rRNA from 1 species
GAUAGGAUGGAAGCAGAUGAAGUUGACGAACGUGUGUCGUAUUCAAAAUCGCUGUCAGCGGUUUGUUUUUACGGCCGAUGUGGGCCGGCGGCUUUGGUCAAUGCAACGCGUCUAGCGUCGAUGGUGACCCUGCGGAGGGACAAUCAGUCGUCGUACGGUGCUUGGUAUGGCUAAGGUUUCGCCGGUCUUAAAGUCAGCGCCUCAUCUGACCCGUCUUGAAACACGGACCAAGGAGUGUAGCGUUUGCGCAAGUCUUAGAGUGUAUCGAAACUUUGAGGCGUAACGAAAGUAAAUGCAGUUUAAUCUGCUGACUUGGGAUGCGUUGUCUCUUGUGGACGGCGCUGGACCAAGGUUUUAUCGCGAUCGCUUGCGGUGCGGUGAAAAUAGAGCGUAAACGGUGCGACCCGAAAGAUGGUGAACUAUGCCUGAGCAGGAUGAAGCCGGAGGAAACUCUGGUGGAAGUCCGAAGCGGUUCUGACGUGCAAAUCGAUCGUCUGACUUGGGUAUAGGGGCGAAAGACUAAUCGAACCAUCU